CGGACGACGCUGGCGGCGUGCUUAACACAUGCAAGUCGAACGGUCCUGUUUUGAAGCGCUUCGGCGUGGAGGGACGGGGCAGUGGCGCACGGGUGAGUAAUGCGCGAGGACCUGCCCGCAGGAGGGGACAGCAGUUGGAAACGGCUGGUGAUACCCCGUAGGCCGGGAGGUGAAAGGGCGGAGACGCCCGCCUGCGGAUGGACUCGCGUCCUAUCAGCUAGUUGGUGAGGCAACGGCUCACCAAGGCGACGACGGGUAGCCGGCCUGAGAGGGUGUCCGGCCACACUGGAACUGAGACACGGUCCAGACUCCUACGGGAGGCAGCAGUGGGGAAUUUUGGACAAUGGGGGCAACCCUGAUCCAGCCAUGCCGCGUGAGUGAAGAAGGCCUUCGGGUUGUAAAGCUCUUUCAGCCGGGAAGAAAACGCACUCUCUAACAUAGGGUGUGGAUGACGGUACCGGAAGAAGAAGCACCGGCUAACUACGUG
rnacentral:rRNA from 1 species